rnacentral:rRNA from 1 species
GACGAACCGUGCGAACGUUAUUCGGAAUCACUGGGCUUAAAGCGCGUGUAGGCGGGACGGCACGUCUGUCGCUGAAAUCCCCCGGCUUAACCGGGGAACUGGCGUAGAUACGACCGUCCUGGAGGGGCGUAGGGGGAUCUGGAACUUCCGGUGGAGCGGUGAAAUGCGUUGAGAUCGGAAGGAACGCCCGUGGCGAAAGCGAGGUCCUGGACGCCUACUGACGCUGAGACGCGAAAGCCAGGGAGAGCGAACGGG